rnacentral:pre_miRNA from 13 species
CCCUCCCCGGUGCCGCCUGACUGUAUAGAACCUGCAUUGUACACACUGUGUGUCUCGCUCUCUGCACACAGCGCGUACAAUGUGGAUACUAUAGAAGUCACUGACUCCUCUACACCA